rnacentral:tRNA from 1 species
GCAUUAAUGGGGUAGUGGUAACCUGGGUCGUUGCCAUAGAAUAGCAGUCCCUGUCUACCUGUAUCGACCUGCCGGGGGUUUGAUUCCCUCUUAAUGCA